ACUCCUACGGGGAGGCAGCAGUGGGGAAUAUUGCACAAUGGGGAAACCCUGAUGCAGCCAUGCCGCGUGUGUGAAGAAGGCCUCGGUUGUAAAGCACUUCUAGUAGGGAGGAAGGUAGUGUAGUUAACACCUGCAUUAUUUGUACGUUACCUACCAGAAGAAGCACCGGCUAACUCCGUGCCAGCAGCCGCGGUAAUACGGAGGGGUGCGAGCGUUAAUCGGAAUUACUGGGCGUAAAGCGCAUGCAGGCGGCCGUGUUAAGUUCAGAUGUGAAAGCCCGGGGGCUUAACCUCGGAAUUGCAUUUGAAACUGGCAGGCUAGAGUCUUGUAGAGGGGGUUAGGAAUUUCAGGUGUAGCGGUGAAAUGCGUAGAGAUCUGAAGGAAUACCAGUGGCGAAGGC
rnacentral:rRNA from 1 species